AUUGAACGCUGGCGGCAGGCCUAACACAUGCAAGUCGAGCGAGCGGCGGACGGGUGAGUAAUGUCUGGGGAUCUGCCCGAUCGCGGGGGAUAACUACUGGAAACGGUGGCUAAUACCGCAUACUAUCGGAUGUACCCAUCUGGGAUUAGCUUGUAGGUGGGGUAAAGGCUCACCUAGGCGACGAUCUCUAGCUGGUCUGAGAGGAUGACCAGCCACACUGGAAAUGAGACAAGGGCCAUACUCCUACGGGAGGAAGCAGUGGGGAAUAUUGCACAAUGGGCGCAAGCCUGAUGCAGCCAUGCAGCGUGUAUGAAGAAGGCCGUAGGGUUGUAAAGUACUUUCAGCGGGGAGGCGUUACCCGCAGAAGAAGCACCGGCUAACUCCGUGCCAGCAGCCGCGGUAAUUC
rnacentral:rRNA from 1 species